rnacentral:rRNA from 1 species
UACGUAGGGGGCUAGCGUUGUCCGGAUUUAUUGGGCGUAAAGAGCGUGUAGGCGGCUAGGUAGGUCUGCUGUGAAAACUGGAGGCUCAACCUUCAGAGGUCGACCGAAACCCCCUGGCUAGAGUCCGGGAGAGGAGAGUGGAAUUCCUGGUGUAGCGGUGAAAUGCGCAGAUAUCAGGAAGAACACCCGUGGCGAAAGCGGCUCUCUGGAACGGUACUGACGCUGAGACGCGAAAGCGUGGGGAGCGAACAGG